UGUGAUUAUCAAACAUAAAUUCUCCCAUUGGGUAGCUAUAAUCAUCAAAAAGAAGUUGCUUACCUAUUUAUUCACUGGAACAUGUUAGUUUUUCUCAUUUGUUUUUCCCUGAUGUUAGGUUUGUGUGUUUGCUUGUUUGUUUAGCUGUAGGACACUAUUCAGGACACAAUCUGUCCUUCGGUUAUACUGAUAAUCUCCUUUGCUUCUCUUAAACGUAUUAAUCAAAAUUUAGUGGCAUAUGAAACUUCUUGUGCUGUUUUUGGUAACCCCGCUCAUUGGUGAAAAGCAUUCAGAAAAGUCUACAAUAUAGCCUAGAAAAGCUAAUAUAAAGACAAAGACUUCUAGCAGCUUAUCUCAGAAUCAAUAAAUGCUGAAGAAUUGUUUACAAAUCAAAUUGAUUCAGAAGUGUUUCCACAACAUCGAUAUUUAUGUAACAAAAAUAUACUUCUCCCUUAUUUGAAAUGUAUUACAUGAAAAACAACCAUUUUAACAGCUGGGUUCUAGUUUGGCCUGUUGCCUUUUAAAAGAAAGACUUCUGUUUUUUUCUUAUAUACCAUUCAUUUCAUGUCCCAGAAUUUCUGUUUGUGUAUCUUGAGCAUUUUCAAGCUGGCAUCUCAUUUCUUCCCUGAUCUAAAGGGAAAUGUAGCGUAGAAUUCAAGCUGCUGGGGGGGCUAGGGAAGAGGAAUCAAUAGCCAUAAUAAAUAUGAGUUUUUCUUGUCUUCAGUGCAUAUUUAAGCUAAUCGCAUGCCGACAUCAUUUUUUAUUAAAUGAGCCUGUGACUAUUAGGUUAAGAUUUCUCAUAUGUUGUUGAACAGUGCACUUUUCAUUUCCUGAGUUAGUGAUUCCAAUGGAAAACAAGAGCAACUCCGUGUUACUGCUGCUGCAACACAUUAAAUGAGUGCAUGAAAUCUAAAGAGCCACCUAUCAUCCCUCCGCCAUUUAAAAAAUAACCCCACAUUUUGAAAGGGAAAUCUGAAUUCCUCAUCUAUCUUGCCCACAGGAAGAUGACCAGGGAUGCCCCCAGAAACUGUAUUCCAAGAGCAGAAGCUGUACUUCAGCAUACGUUUCUCUGAACUGUCUGAUGCUACAGUGGCACCUCACCUGGAAUUCAAAAAAGAAUCCUACUGCUUAACACUUCCAGUAGUGAAUGAUACAAAAGAUUCAAUAAAAUGAAAGGUUCAAGAAAAUGCAAGUUUGCAAGCAAGGAAACAAUUAAUUCAGAGGGUUGAUUAGGCUUGUUCCAUGCAGUCAUUACCACUCUUCAAAAGUGCCUUUGAGCUCCGCUCCUCAGUCCAAAUUUGCACUGCAACACUAGAUGAGUUUUACACAUGUAAAAGCUCCAAAACUUGUUUCUCUCACCAACUGAAGUUGGUGCAAUAAGAAAUAUUACCUCACCCACCCUUGUUUCCCCACACUCUUUCAUUCUUACAUUGUCUUUCAGGAGUCGGACUCUGGGCUUUCCUUCCAUGGGCAGGAAAGGUGAACUGAAGAUUUACAUUUAUAUGUGCUGAAGAAUAUACUUUUUUUCCUUCAAGCACAUGGGAGGUGUAAUGUCCUGAGGACAAUCUCCACAGAUUCCUGAGAAGGAUGAGGAGAACCGAAAAAAAAGAGAGGUUACCCCAGAGAACCCAUCCCAGGUUUUAGUCAGGGCCAGACUUCAGGAAUUCCUGGGUGACAAAGCAUACAGAGCAUGCGUGAUGAAUAAAGUUUAUGUACUUCAAUAUUAAGUCUCAGAAGUCAGAACCUGGUUCUCUAUUUCCUCACACCUGUAGUCACUUACACCUGUCCUAAAUGAAUGGUAAAUACCAUACUGAUUUUGUAGCAUCACUUUACACAUGUGUAAAUGAUUAAACAAGGUGUAAGGGAGUUGCAAAUCCUACCUUCAAGGAACUCCCCAGACAGCUGAGGCAUAAUAGGAGUAGCAGACAUACUCAGUUUUACAGCCUGUGUGUGUGUUUUAAGAGGCAGGCGUUUCCAUACACAUUUCAUCUGUAUGAAGUGGCUGCAAAUCCAGUGAUACAGUUCUCUUUUUCCAUGAGAUCCACUAGCACAAAACUUAAAUGAGCUCUGGGAAUGUUCCAUUGGGUUCUGAACUAAAAUAUAACAAUGCAACCCAGAUCCUUUAUAUAACUUAGUUUUCCUUCUCUAUUUUUCCAUUUUCUGUGAUUAAGGCUCAUGCAAAUGCUCUGCCUUAAUCCUAUAAUGAAUUUUAUUCAACUGUUAAUUAUAAACUUAUUUCACUUGUCUGAAAAAAAGACAGGCUUUGGUGAAAAAAAAUAAAAACCGAGCAGUUACAAAAUCUGAGCACUGAGUGGAGAGUGUAAACCCAUGUAAAUGCUAUAAAGACAUAUUCAAAAACAGGUUAGACCAGUUACCAUAACUAAAAUGGAAAAGAGCAGGGAGUAUUUUAUCACUGGCAUUGAAGGGGAAAGGAAACAGAAGAUACAUGGCUCUGCCCAUCUGUGACCCAGAGGCCCAUGGGUAGUUAACUGUUCUGUGUCAGCAACUCUUGUCAGGCCUGAAAUACUCAUUACCCCUAACACAUGACUGCCAUGAUAUAUACCCAAAAGGUGGCACAUAAUAUAUCAUUGGAGAACUAAUAACUCACUGAUCAUUAAUAUUUUUGCAUGGUGUAUGUACAAGCUGUGUACAAAAAGUUAUAAAUAUGUGCUAGAAUUAUGUUCUUAAAAUGUGUUUGGCAAGCAAUGCAUAAGCACGGUCUGCCUUAUAUAAAGGAAUAGGGGUAGCAGACAUAUUCAGUACAUAAUAUUGAAGUACAUAAAUUACAUGUGUAUUUGCUUGUCUGACCAGCCUUGUCAUCAUGCAGAGACAGUGAAGGUACAUUUACAUAUAAGAUAAACAAAAUUAUCAAGCUAACAAUCAGAGGCGAGGACAGCAUGGCAUCUACAUCCCAACAGGAGAAAAAUAACUUCAUCUGAGACUACAUUUCAAAGGGCCCUACCAAAUUCACAGCCAUGAAGAAUGAAUCAUGAAAUCUGGUCUCCCCCCGUUGUGACGGGUUGGACACCCCCGUCCAGGAUGCCUCCUGAUAUACUGGAGUCCCACUGAGCCCAACCAUUCCAGCAACACACACACAGGUGGUGUUUGGGAUUCAGCUGGAGCUGGUAGAGGUGGCGAUGUCAUCUGGGUCCCCCUCUCUGGCCUGAUCUGGUGAGGACAUUUCUCAGGACAAGGAUGAAGACGGUCCGGGGUCCCAGGAGAUGGUGUGGAUUGCAGCCAUGAUGGUGAAGCUUGUCCAGUAGGCAUGCUCUCUCCUCAAAGUCUCUUUCUUGAAGGACUCACAAAGGGAACGGUGGACAAAAAAGCCUAUCCCCUCAUUAUUUUGUCCAUCAUCAAUUAGGCCUAGUUUCCAACACACCAAUUUUAGUUCACUAAUUUUUGGUUCCACACUUUUCUUGUUUAACAAACUUGAUUUUAACACAGUCCUUGAGUAUAUAUCAUUAGACCUUUUUGGUCUAAUUUAGUCUUUCUGCCUCCCUUUCAUACCUUUUCCCAUCAACAUUUGUUAUUAUAGGUUAAGUGAUAUCUUAUGAACUUUCAUAGGCACCUACUCCCUGGGUGCUUUGGAGCUGGAGCACCUAUGGAAAAAAAAAUUGGGUGCUCAGCAUCCACCAGGCACU